AAGCUGCUGUCUCGAGUCGUCAGUGCCCCGAUCUCGCCUCUCGCCAGCCUCCGUACCCCGACACUGGGACAAGCUGUCCAGAGAAGCUGUAGAGGCUUCAACCCUGGCAGUGUUGAAAACCAGGUGUCCUGCUGAGAAGACAAAAGGCCACAUGCAUGAGGAAUUAGUGAAGGUGUUCCUGGAGAUGGCUCACACAAAGAGGUUCUGGGCAGAUCUCAUCUUUGUGGCAAAGGUCAAAUAGGAAACAUCUUGAAAAGAGCUACCGAAGCAACAAGGGAAUGUGAAUCUUUGUGCUCUUCUGCUCUCAGCCAUGGAGCUACUGUACCUUAUGAAGAGUGAUGAUCCUGCUGUAAUGCGGAACUGCUGUUGAAGGAUAACACAAGGUACUGAAGCCUUGGGAAGGGAGGCUGGAUAUUCAACACACUGGAAGCCAUCCAGGAGGAUGUCUCCUGAGGCUAAUGCAAUUAUGAUUCCACUUGGGUUGGCUAUGUGAGCAGAAGGUACCAGCUAACUGUGAGAGCUGCUAGGCAAAGGUUGCAGUCCUAUGUCUGUAGAGCACUGUGCACCUUGGACUCUGAUUUUGUCAGUAAGUGAAGAGAGAAGUUAGAAAAGAGAGACAGUCCUGACAGUGAUGGAUCAGCAAGCAGGACAAGGGUUGGGAGUUCAACUACCCAGUGUUGGGCUCUGGCACAGAGAACAGCUGCAUGAGGACAUCCCUCUGCCGAGCAGCUCGCCGAAUCGAAGCCGUGAGGUAGUUUAUUUCCUGGAUUAUACAUGUAUUUAAUUAAAAUUCUAGCUAAAUAUUUGCAGCAAUAAGUUUUUGAAGUACUGCAAAGUUACACUGUAUUAAACAUUUAUUGCAGUCCUAUGAAAUAUUCCUCAGCUUAAAUAUUUACUGUUAUUUUCAAGAUAUUGGCAUUAAGCUUAUUACAAACACGGCGGCAACGCAAGCCCAUCUUUCUCUAAGCAAUAUACUUUGAGUUGCUUUUAGACUUAUUUCCUGAUGGAUAUUUGCCAUUAAUGCACUAUGACUUUUUCCUUUACCAAAAAAAACCGCUGUAGCCCAAGCUCAAAGAAAGUUGUAAUUUAAAAGACAGUUUCCACUGUGCUCAGCAUUCUCACAGUAAUAAUAGUUUGUCCUUUUUUCUUACUGCAGAUCCUGCAUCAAAUAUUUAUGUUGGUGUUUAUUUAGUAAACAAAGAAACCGAAUUAGGCUAACACAUGAAGCCUAGGAUGUGUUUUAAUAUCUGCAUUUGUGUCAUGUUGUGGCCUUUGUGCAAUUGAUUCAAAGGAAUGUAUUAAAUAAUAAAUAACUUUUUCUUAAA